AUUGAACGCUGGCGGCAUGCCUUACACAUGCAAGUUGAACGGCAGCACGGGUGCUUGCACCUGGUGGCGAGUGGCGAACGGGUGAGUAAUACAUCGGAACAUGUCCUGUAGUGGGGGAUAGCCCGGCGAAAGCCGGAUUAAUACCGCAUACGAUCUACGGAUGAAAGCGGGGGACCUUCGGGCCUCGCGCUAUAGGGUUGGCCGAUGGCUGAUUAGCUAGUUGGUGGGGUAAAGGCCUACCAAGGCGACGAUCAGUAGCUGGUCUGAGAGGACGACCAGCCACACUGGGACUGAGACACGGCCCAGACUCCUACGGGAGGCAGCAGUGGGGAAUUUUGGACAAUGGGCGAAAGCCUGAUCCAGCAAUGCCGCGUGUGUGAAGAAGGCCUUCGGGUUGUAAAGCACUUUUGUCCGGAAAGAAAUCCUUGGCCCUAAUACGGUCGGGGGAUGACGGUACCGGAAGAAUAAGCACCGGCUAACUACGUG
rnacentral:rRNA from 1 species